UAAGUGAAAGCAAAUAAAUUGCAUCUAACUGUUAAUUAGAAGAAAGUCUCUGACUCACUUAU
rnacentral:tRNA from 1 species